rnacentral:rRNA from 1 species
GACGAACGCUGGCGGCGUGCUUAACACAUGCAAGUCGAACGAUGAAGCCUAGCUUGCUAGGUGGAUUAGUGGCGAACGGGUGAGUAAUACGUGAGUAACCUACCUUUAACUCUGGGAUAAGCCUGGGAAACUGGGUCUAAUACCGGAUACGACCAAUCUCCGCAUGGGGUGUUGGUGGAAAGCGUUAUGUAGUGGUUAUAGAUGGGCUCACGGCCUAUCAGCUUGUUGGUGAGGUAACGGCUCACCAAGGCGACGACGGGUAGCCGGCCUGAGAGGGUGACCGGCCACACUGGGACUGAGAAACGGCCCAGACUCCUACGGGAGGCAGCAGUGGGGAAUAUUGCACAAUGGGCGCAAGCCUGAUGCAGCGACGCCGCGUGAGGGAUGACGGCCUUCGGGUUGUAAACCUCUGUUAGCAGGGAAGAAGAGAAAUUGACGGUACCUGCAGAGAAAGCGCCGGCUAACUACGUG